UACAUAGGGUCCGAGCGUUGUCCGGAAUUAUUGGGCGUAAAGGGCUCGUAGGCGGUUUGUCGCGUCUGCCGUGAAAGUCCGGGGCUCAACUCCGGAUCUGCGGUGGGUACGGGCAGACUAGAGGCAUGCAGGGGAGAACGGAAUUCCUGGUGUAGCGGUGAAAUGCGCAGAUAUCAGGAGGAACACCGAUGGCGAAGGCAGGUCUCUGGGCAUUAACUGACGCUGAGGAGCGAAAGCAUGGGGAGCGAACAGG
rnacentral:rRNA from 1 species